rnacentral:lncRNA from 1 species
CCAAAUCUUAGUUAGACUUAGUUAGGCCCAAUCUAUAAAUACUUGUACAGUCAUAUAUUUUUAGACUAAUGAGAAAGACCAGAUAUUUUCUAUUCCAUCUGCUGCAUCUCUCACGCCAUUCUUCUCUUUGUUUGACAUUUGUUUCGAUCGCCGGAAUUCACCAUAGAUUCCGGCUCGAAUUUCUGAUUUCUAACAUGGUAUCAGAGCAGAUCCUUUGAUUUCGCAUCUCGUUUUAUUUUUCAGCUUUGUAUCAAGGUGUUCUUUGAGAAUUUUCAGAAACCCUAAUUUUCGUUGGAGUUUUUCUGAUUUUGUUUUUUUUGGAGAUUUUUCUUCACAUUUGAGGAUUUUAGCUGUGUCUCUCAAGCUUUGAGAUGUAAUUUUCACUUCUUCAACAAGUUCAGAAGUUCGGUUGCGAUUUUUGCGGUUUUCACGAUAACAUCGCUGUCUUUCUGCCUCAAAUUCCGGUAAAUUCUCUCCUUUACUCAUCUUGUUUGUGGUAGCGAUGGGUGAUAAUUCAAUAUCUUCUUCGUGUGACCCGUCAAAUUUCAAUAAUCCAACUCAUGAGCUCUAUCUCAAUCCUUCUGACAAUCCUGGCACUAUGAUUGUCCCUGUGCGUUUCAAUGGUAAUGAUUUUGGGGCAUGGAGUCGUGGUGUGUAUAUUGCUUUGGGGGCAAAGAAUAAACUUGGUUUUAUCGAUGGUUCUUGUGUCAAACUACCCACAAGUUCGCCUCUCCUCAAGCAAUGGGAACAAUGCAACCUAAUGGUAUCUAGUUGGCUGCUUAACUCUUUAGUUCAGGACAUUUAUGACAGUGUCAUAUAUACUAUAUAGUAAGUAUGCCUAUCAGAUUUGGGAUGAACUUAAUGAGCGAUACGGUCAGUCGAAUGGAGCACGAAUUUAUCAAGUACAGAAAGAGCUCAGUGCUUUAACUAAGAGAUCUCUUGAUAUUCAAAUUUAUUAUACAAAAAUUAAGAAGAAAUGGGAUGAAUUAAAUUCACUAAACAACGAUUCAGGAUGCACUUGUGAGUGUCAAUGUGGAGGAAAAGCAAAACUACUGAAGGAGAAAGAAACUCAGAGGCUUAACCAAUUCUUAAUGGGACUUAAUGAUAGUUAUAGUGGAGCAAGGAGAAAUAUCACCAUGAUGAAACCUGUUCCUAGCAUUAGCCAAGCAUAUUCUAUGCUUCUCCAACAUGAGACACAAUAUGAAGUACAAUCUAUCUCUCAUAUUGUUCCUGAGUCUGCUUCUCUGUCUGCUUCUUUUGGUGGACAAAAAUUUCCUCCUAAACUCAACUUGUCUGGCUAGAAGAACUCUAAUGUGUAAUGUAAAUACUAUAAAAAAUCUGGCCAUACUAUUGAUAAAUGUUAUAGGUUGAAUGGCUUCCCUUCAGACUUUAAGUUCACCAAGAACAAGCGUAUAAUAGCUGCUUCUGUUCAGACUGGGAGUUCACUUGGUGUUGGUAAUGCUGACCAGUAGAGUGAUGCUCCCCGACAAACUUUCUCUUCUGUCAGUGGUACUUUCACACCACAACACUUUCAACAAUUGCAAGAUUUUGUCUCACUACUGCAUCAUACUCAUGUUAAUCCUGAAAAACAACCUAUGUCUCCUAAGCCUUUGACUGCUUCUACACAUUUUGCUGGUAAAAUACCUUCUAUUUUUCAUGCUAGUUGUGGUUCUUGUAUUUGUCUUAAUUCUAAAAUUUAUACUGAUUACUGGUGUGAGCACGUGAUUUUUGCCCUAUAUGAAUUACUCCCAUAAAUUUAAAACAAAACAAUUUCUUUCAGUGUUUGCAAUUUUGAGAAUUUUCGUGGCAUUAUCUGGUAAUUGUUUGCAUUUGUUUGUGCAUUUUAUUUUUGUUUAAUUAAUGAAAAAUACAAAAAUAUGUUGCAUUUGCAUUUAGGAUUUAAUUUUAUAUUUUAGGAUUAAUUAAGAAAUUAGUUUUUUUUUAAAAAAAUGGAAAAAAUCACAAAAAUAGUUUAUUUUGCACUUUUUAAUUUUAAUUUCGAAUUUUGGUAGUUUUCUUUGAAUUUGGUUUUUAAUUAUUUGUGGUAAAUGUCAUUUAGAGUUAAUUAAUGUAAUAAGAUAAUUUGAUUAGGAAUUAAUUUAGGUUUUAUUCUUAAUUUUAAUUUUUAUUUAAAAUAAAUUAAAGGAAAAAUUGAAAAAAAUAGAAAAGAAAAGAAGAGAAACAAAAAUGAGAUUAGAUUUUUGGGCCGUUUUUUUUUCCGUUUAAUUCUUUUAGCCCAAUCCCUUUUCCUUUAGACCCGACCAAAACCGACCCUAAACCCGCCCUUAACCCGGUCCAGCCCCCCUAAAACCAAACGACCCCAUUUCGAUGAGCUUGAAUCCCAGCCGUCGAUCUUCUUUAGAUCCAAUGGCUGGGAGCCGUGGGUCUUUAUGAUAUACAAGUGUCCGAACGGACCCCGCCCCUCUCAAACUCCUCUCCUCUUCGUCUCUCACCAUCUCAGAGACCCCACAACGUAACCCCACCGUGCACCGCCGCCGGAAAUCGCCCUACAACGGAGGUAGGUCUCCGAUGACCACCAAAUUUAUACCCUAACUCCCUCUCCUUCUCCUCAGUCCAAAUCCACACCCCUUUUCCCUCGAAUCACACCUGAGCUUCCUCGAAUCUGGCUCAGAAGUCCGAACCCUAAUCCGCCGCCUUAUUUUUCCAUCGUCUCAACCGGCAGCGCCGACUCCUUUUUCCACAAAAUCAACACCAAGUGACCACCAUGACCUGCUCAUCCCCAGAUACCCAACCCACUACCCUCAAAUCCUAACGAGGCUCUUUGAAUAUUAAAUCACAAGUUGAGCCCUAAGAGUCAAAAUCGAGAUUCUGCGGACGAUGUUGGUCCAAAAUGAUUUUAUUCACUUGUUCUCUGUGAGAACAUGCGAUUAAUAUCAGAUUGGACCAGGAAUCUAGGGAGUUGAAGAUUUGAGAUGUUUGUUUUCUUGGUCCGAAUUGUAGAAGGUAUUUCUUCUUGUUUAUAAUUAAUCUUCUUUUAUUCUGUUUUCCCCUCAUUGUUUUCUUUCUGUUCCUUCUCUUCUUCUGGUUUCUUUCUUACGUUUUGAUUAGAUGCAUGGCUAAUUGAGAGUCCCGUCUUGAUUGAUUAAUUAGUUUGGUUUGACAAUAUAGUUAAUUCUUUCUAUGUUAAUUAAGCAAGUAAUCUAGUUUUAGGCUCCUCAGUGGAUUAUUUCAAGUUACUAAAUCAAUUAGUGUAGAUGUUUUAUUAUUUGAACCAUCUCAGCAUGGGCUUACAUUUCACUAGUUGUGUCGUUUGGGUUUUGGGUUGGCUAUGACCUAUUUGUGCAAGGACAUACGAUCCAGUUUGGGUUUAAGUCACUGGGUUGAAUUGACCCAUUUGGUAAUCUGAAGUAAUAUUUAGAGGGUUUGGGAGUUAGUUUGGGUAGUCUUAGUGAAGGAAUCUUUUGUAACAAGAAGGUGAAGCUUCUAGGAAGCUGGGGUGGGGGCUGUUUUGGUAAUUGGUUAAUCACGUUAAGGGUAAUUCAACAAAAAGGAAAAAUCAGGUAAAGAUUAGUUAGCAAAAAGCAAAAUUGAAAAAGGACUGAAUGGUAAAAAAUAUCUCCUUGGGUCUGCCCUAUUUGCUUGCCUAUAAAGGCAUCUUUUCCUUGCCAUUCAAGGCAGAAUUUCCAUAGAUAGAAAAAUACAGAAGAGAAAAUGGCUAAAGCUUUACUAUUCGAUUGAAAUUUCUUCUUCUCUUUGUGAUUUCUGAAGUUUUUAAGCCUGAGACAUUUUCUAAUUCGUAUGGUGGCUGAAAGGGUUUGAUUUUGGUUGGUUUACGAGUUUUGCCUGAAGUUCUUGUUGAUUUUGUUAUUAUUGCACACUAUUUUCUGGAUUUGAGCUGGUUUUUGCUGGGAAUCACUGUUCUAUUGCUUUUUCCUGCUGAUUUCUGCUGUCUUUGCUGGGCUGUAGCUACUGCUUGUUCACUUCUAUUUUCCUUUGUUAAUUUCCAGGUAUUUCCUCAUACCAUUGUUAACAAAUGGGGUGCUACAAGUUAGAACCAGACUGAAUCUCUAUACAAAGUUGAUAAUUUGUUUUGGAAUUAGAACAAAAGCAUUGAUUAAUGCUGAAUCUCCAUUAGCUCCAGCUGCUUUAUGUCCUUAAUUUCUCAUGUCCUAAAGUAAUUCAGUGUUUUACUUUCAAAAUAUGUUAGUCUGUUUAUUCAUGCUCAAUGGUUUAAGGUUGAAUGACUUGCUUGGAUUUUUGGGCUCUAUAAUUGUAAAUGGAAGCUCAUAGGUGAAUGGACUGUUAGGGUCGUGCUGCACUUGAACUUUAAUUUAUUAUUUUCAGCUCUGUUGUGGGUUGAAUCUUCCUGUAGUUGAUGUUUCAAAGGGGAACUUUGUGUCGAAUACUGUUGGUCAAGAUGCAGUAGCUAAUUUACUCAACUUGAGCAUACUUACUUGGUUACUGAAAUUACCUAGGUUCAUUGUUGUUAGAAUAAACUGUAAAUACGGAUUUAGCAUGUGCUUGCAUGAAGUGUGUUAUGAGUUGUAUAACUGAAUAACAACUGAACCCCU